GACGAACGCUGGCGGCGUGCCUAAUACAUGCAAGUUGAGCGAUGAAGAUUGGUGCUUGCACCAAUUUGAAGAGCAGCGAACGGGUGAGUAACGCGUGGGGAAUCUGCCUUUGAGCGGGGGACAACAUUUGGAAACGAAUGCUAAUACCGCAUAACAACUUUAAACAUAAGUUUUAAGUUUGAAAGAUGCAAUUGCAUCACUCAAAGAUGAUCCCGCGUUGUAUUAGCUAGUUGGUGAGGUAAAGGCUCACCAAGGCGAUGAUACAUAGCCGACCUGAGAGGGUGAUCGGCCACAUUGGGACUGAGACACGGCCCAAACUCCUACGGGAGGCAGCAGUAGGGAAUCUUCGGCAAUGGACGAAAGUCUGACCGAGCAACGCCGCGUGAGUGAAGAAGGUUUUCGGAUCGUAAAACUCUGUUGGUAGAGAAGAACGUUGGUGAGAGUGGAAAGCUCAUCAAGUGACGGUAACUACCCAGAAAGGGACGGCUAACUGCGUG
rnacentral:rRNA from 1 species